rnacentral:rRNA from 1 species
AUGAGAGCCACGAUGGUAAGCUCCCCCAGCCCACUUGCCCCUCUUUCAUCUCCGUUCUACUCCUUGUAUCUCGCCCCCCUCGAGCUCGCCUCGAUCCAUGGCCUCUCCUUAAACCUAGAUCCGGUCACGGCCACGGCCGGCUUCGCAGCUCCCGGCCACCAUCGCAUGCGCCUCCCCCCGCAUCUCCCUCAUAUCGCUUGUGCAGCACCGUGGCUAUAUGUCGCCAGCGCCAUCAGCUGCAGCCCCGCUCUAAUCCACCUGCAUGUCAUGGACAACAGCCAUGGAGGAUGCACCUCCGGCUACUCACUCGUUGUUGGCCUACCAGUAUCUCCACCAACAUCUCAUCCAUCUAGAUCAGGGGCGCUUUAA